GACGAACGCUGGCGGCGUGCUUAACACAUGCAAGUCGAACGGAAAGGCCCUGCUUUUGUGGGGUGCUCGAGUGGCGAACGGGUGAGUAACACGUGAGUAACCUGCCCUUGACUUUGGGAUAACUUCAGGAAACUGGGGCUAAUACCGGAUAGGAGCUCCUGCUGCAUGGUGGGGGUUGGAAAGUUUCGGCGGUUGGGGAUGGACUCGCGGCUUAUCAGCUUGUUGGUGGGGUAGUGGCUUACCAAGGCUUUGACGGGUAGCCGGCCUGAGAGGGGGACCGGCCACAUUGGGACUGAGCUACGGCCCAGACUCCUACGGGAGGCAGCAGUGGAGAAUAUUGCACAAUGGGCGGGAGCCUGAUGCAGCAACGCCGCGUGCGGGAUGACGGCCUUCGGGUUGUAAACCGCUUUCGCCUGUGACGAAGCGUGAGUGACGGUAAUGGGUAAAGAAGCACCGGCUAACUACGUG
rnacentral:rRNA from 1 species